rnacentral:rRNA from 1 species
GUGCCUAAUACAUGCAAGUCGAGCGGACAGAAGGGAGCUUGCUCCCGGAUGUUAGCGGCGGACGGGUGAGUAACACGUGGGUAACCUGCCUGUAAGACUGGGAUAACUCCGGGAAACCGGAGCUAAUACCGGAUAGUUCCUUGAACCGCAUGGUUCAAGGAUGAAAGACGGUUUCGGCUGUCACUUACAGAUGGACCCGCGGCGCAUUAGCUAGUUGGUGGGGUAAUGGCUCACCAAGGCGACGAUGCGUAGCCGACCUGAGAGGGUGAUCGGCCACACUGGGACUGAGACACGGCCCAGACUCCUACGGGAGGCAGCAGUAGGGAAUCUUCCGCAAUGGACGAAAGUCUGACGGAGCAACGCCGCGUGAGUGAUGAAGGUUUUCGGAUCGUAAAGCUCUGUUGUUAGGGAAGAACAAGUGCGAGAGUAACUGCUCGCACCUUGACGGUACCUAACCAGAAAGCCACGGCUAACUACGUGCCAGCAGCCGCGGUAAUACGUAGGUGGCAAGCGUUGUCCGGAAUUAUUGGGCGUAAAGGGCUCGCAGGCGGUUUCUUAAGUCUGAUGUGAAAGCCCCCGGCUCAACCGGGGAGGGUCAUUGGAAACUGGGAAACUUGAGUGCAGAAGAGGAGAGUGGAAUUCCACGUGUAGCGGUGAAAUGCGUAGAGAUGUGGAGGAACACCAGUGGCGAAGGCGACUCUCUGGUCUGUAACUGACGCUGA